rnacentral:sRNA from 1 species
UGUUGCCACGGACCAGGGAUGAGAACCCGCGGAGCGGUUCGAGCCGAGCCGUCAACGGCGAGACAACGCAGGAGCUGUAGCGACUGCGGCCCGCAGGGUGAGCGCAGUAGCGCUCAUAAUCCCGCCUCGUCCACCA